rnacentral:rRNA from 1 species
UACAGAGGUCUCAAGCGUUGUUCGGACUCAUUGGGCGUAAAGAGUGCGUAGGUGGCGUGGUAAGUCGGGUGUGAAAUUUCGGAGCUUAACUCCGAAACUGCAUUCGAUACUGCCGUGCUUGAGGACUGGAGAGGAGACUGGAAUUUACGGUGUAGCAGUGAAAUGCGUAGAGAUCGUAAGGAAGACCAGUGGCGAAGGCGGGUCUCUGGACAGUUCCUGACACUGAGGCACGAAGGCCAGGGGAGCAAACGGG